CGGAGAGGGCUCCGUCCUGGCCGUCUCCUCCGGCGUGCUCGCCGGUAACAGCGACCCCCGACGCGCGCAGCUGCAGGGUUUCCCGGUGCACAGGGACUCGAAUCUUGGAGACACUGGAUCGAGUUCGCUCACGAACAGGCCUGCUCCUUUAAUUUCUCUCUGUUUACACGCGCUGCAAAUAUUCAGUUACAGUGUACGCGGUGGAGGAUCUGCCCAUGAGUGUGCAAGCAGUAUUUACUACUAGUUACUUUUUGAUUGAUUAGAGUUGUUCCUAUCGCUCCAAUACUACUAGUCCCUGACGAAGGACAAAUUUAUUUGUAUACAUGUGCAAUGCAAACUGAUCUGCCCGUGUGAGUGUUCCUGGUCAAGGGUGAUUGACUACUAGCUAGAUUCCUGUGAACUAAUAAAGAUCUGUUGUUCCCGUGUACUACUGCUGUUCACGUUUUUUCUCUGUUCCUUCGGCGCAUAAUAGCAUUUGCUGUUCAAGCUCGGUUUCACAUCGAGAAUCGCUGAAACUUUCCAACUUGUACUAGCAGGACCGCUCUGCUAUAAAUCGUCAAACUCCGUUAUGCUAGUUUUUUUUCAUCAUAAAUGGUUGAGCUUAGAUUAUACUCCAUUGGUUGUUGAUCCAUGUUAUGCCUGUCUCUCUGUAUUUAUACUGGCAAUCGAAGGCUUGGAAAGGAAUACAUUGUUCCAUUAUUAUUUAGCAUAUCAAACUCUGAUUUAUCCAUAAAAUGCAUUAGAAAAUUUCAAACUCAAUGUUUGUUUGUUGCUGAUGCAUUCUAGCUUGGUUGGUUUUAUUUCGCCUGUCAUAGAGGUUACUUGUACUGCACUGUGCUACAUAUAAAUCUUGACAUUUAUAUGCUAAUCUUCCUGAGCUUAUUUGUUUUUGAAUGCUCAUUAUUUUUUCCUUUGAUUUGAUUUAGCUGGACUAGUACAUUUGUUUCUUAAGGAAUAAUCCUAAUUGUCCCUGUUUCCUUAUCAUGGACUAUAUACUUCAAUUUGUAAUCAUGUAGGAUCAGAAUGCCGUACAAUUAUGCUGCUGCGUGCCGGUGAGCACCACCUCCCUUCUCUACCUCAUUUCCGUUGAUGCUAGAUUGCUGCGUUAUUUUCCUUCAUGUAUGUGGGUGUGUGGUAGAAACCUUAGCUAGCUAGCUGUGUGGGUGACAAGAACUACCGCGGCUUGUUGUCGUAAGGUUUUCUCCCGCCUUCCGCUGAUGAAUUUGUGAUGUUUCUGGUUCUGCCUGCUGUGCAAACCAACCGUUGGUUAGAGCUAGUUUGGCAUGACAAGUGGUCUGUGGUGGUAGUGCUAAUGUGGUGCCAAGUCUUUUGCUAAUUUGUAGUUCUGCAGGUAUGUAGAUAGUACGGAAUUGUUCAUGGCUUUCGCUGAUUUUUUCAACGAAGUUAGGAGGUUGUGCCAUCCGGUCCACAGAUAAUUAAUUUGAACCUUGCAUUGCAACAUCGUUACUCCUACAACUUGUUUAGUUAAGUUUUGGAUUUCCUGCUGUGCUUAGUGUGAGGUUGGAUUUUAUACUGGACGGGGUCUCAGAUUGUUGCAGUUAUGGUAUUUAACAUUAAAUGAAAGGUUCUUCUUAAUUUGACGUUUCUACUGUCGGUUUCCUCAGUUGGUGUUCAAAGUCUACUUGUUGUGUUGAUUUUGUAUGGGACAUGAGUAUAAUAUAUUAAUUUUGUAGUAGGCCUAAAUGUUUAUAUCAUUGUCAGGAACUUCCACAUGGGGUGGCUCAUCUGCUUGCUAGUUUAUUUCUUGAUGGCCAGUCUGAUUAAGUUGUUUCGACAGAAUGUCGCUGCUGUAGUCUCAUUCUGGUUGUUACAUUUGGUAUCCACUGCAUUGCAGGGUAAGAAGAGGAAAGACGCUAUCUGCAUAGUCAUUGCGGAUGACACUUGUGAGGAGCCUAAAGUUAGGAUGAAGAAGUUCAUAGGAAGAGCCUGAUGAGUCUGUGACUUGGCGAUGUUGUCUCUGUCCGUCAAAUGCCAGGACGUGAAAUAUGGGAAUCGUAUCCACACUCAUCCUAUUGGUGAUACAGUUGAAGGCAUUACUGAAGCCUAUUUGAUGCCUUCUUGAAAUCCAGCCCAAGGUAGUGGUGGCGAUGGCGAGGAUGGGUCAGGAAGGCACCACUCGGUCUUCGCCUCGGACGAGAACACGAAUACUACCUGCAGGUAUGAUUGCUGACCGUGUAUUACUUCCUGGAAAAUGGCAAGGUUCAGUGCUAUGGACCCACAGUUUCAAUGACCAACUUAUGCACAUGACCUGCGACAUAUCUGGGAAAGCAUUCCUUUAUCCCUUCAGAUUGCGAGGUUGUGCAACGCGAUUUCCGUGUGAACUUAUACAUGCUAGAUCAGAGUUAUUGUGCAUAGCAAAUAGAUACAACUGACCGUCUUCUUUUUGUUCUUGGCAAGGACAACGACGAGGCAGGGUGGCAGCUGUGACCUGUGGCUGCUGUAGCUUCAUAUAUGCGCCUUGGUCGUCGAACAAUCUCUAUGCAGGUGGAGUUACGUUUCUACCGCCUUAUCAACUAUGCGAUAGAUAUGGUUGAUGCAUGCUUUGUUGGUGUAACACCAUCUGAACUUGUUGGUGUAACUGUAAAAGCUUUCGCUUAUGUUUGUUGUUUGGUAGUGUGAUACGCAUUUCUGCAGGUUUAUACCUCUGGUUGAGGUUGAUAUGUAUAUUUGAAUGUCAAAUUUGUUGUGCCGUGUGCACAUCAAGUAGUUUUUAUGUACAGUGUAUUAAUUGCUA